rfam:Picoides pubescens contig98522, whole genome shotgun sequence.
CAGAUACUGUGAUGAUGGCAUAGUUCAGCAAAGCAUACUGUGAUGAAAAAAAAGUUGUCUUUCGCCUCCUAUCUGAUGUAUCUU